GAUGAACGCUAGCGGCAGGCUUAAUACAUGCAAGUCGUGGGGCAGCAGGUUUGUAGCAAUACAGAUGCUGGCGACCGGCAAAACGGGUGCGGAACACGUACAGAACCUUCCUUUGAGCGGGGAAUAGCCCGGAGAAAUUUGGAUUAAUACCCCAUAGUAUAAUGAAGUGGCAUCACUUUAUUAUUAAAGAUUUAUCACUCGAAGAUGGCUGUGCGGCUGAUUAGGUAGUUGGCGGGGUAAAGGCCCACCAAGCCUGCGAUCAGUAACUGGUGUGAGAGCACGACCAGUCACACGGGCACUGAGACACGGGCCCGACUCCUACGGGAGGCAGGCAGUAAGGAAUAUUGGUCAAUGGAGGCAACUCUGAACCAGCCAUGCCGCGUGGAGGAUGAAGGUCCUCUGGAUUGUAAACUUCUUUUAUAUGGGACGAAAAAGGCUUUUCUAAGUCGUCUGACGGUACCAUAUGAAUAAGCACCGGCUAACUCCGUG
rnacentral:rRNA from 1 species